UAUGCACGAUCCGAAAUUUUCAUUAUGAGAUAAGCUCCGUAUUUUGUAUUUGGCGACAGCAUUUGAGUUCUGAUUUUGCCUUGGAUUUCUAACCACCAGGUUGUUCUGAGUAUGGCUACCUCUGAAAAUCUGUAGAGAAGAUGAACCAUGUUUAUAUAUUCUUACUACUGUUCAACUUUGUUACCCUUUUUAAUUUUAGCUAGCUAGCUAUGCUGUAUGGUAUCUUAUUGAAAUAAAUUACAAGAAGAGAGAAGAAGAGGCGUGGGGGAGAUAUCAACCUUGAUUCAGUUGUUGGCAUCCAACUCCAAUAUGUUGGAACAUCACCCCACAUGAUAAAAAGCUCUCGUGCAGACAGUGUAUACAGGUGGUGUUAUAGUUUUCCAUCUGAAGACAAGGUUUUACACAUAAAUUAACAAAAGAUGAAAAUAAGCAUACUUUUAAUGCUGGUUAACUUAGUGCAGAUACAGUUCAUAACAUUGUUUGAAUAUUUCAUCCCUUAUUCAUAAUAUUAAAUUUUGGAUAUUUAAUUUGGUGUGGCUACAAAAUCAGUUGUAUUGUAUUUCUUAAACAAAAGGGAGCACGUCAUUGUAUUUCAGUUUAUACUCUUAUCUCAAAAAAUAUGAUGCUAAUGCCUUUACCCUUCUGACUUUCUGAAGCUGUGAGUGUGACACCAAGACAAACAGUUUGCACAAGUAUUUUUCAGACAUGUAGACUACUCGUAGAUUGAUGGCAUAAAUGAAACAUUCAAAACUACAUGUGUCUAUUCAAUUUAACGUAUGUGCUUUUGUAAAUCCCGCUUCAUAUGAAUGAUUUAUUAGUUGACUUAAAUCCCGCUUCAUUGUUUUUCUCCUUUUGAACUCAUUAGUUGAUUUCUAGGAUCAUCUUCUUUAAUAUAAGCUGAUUAUAUAUCGAAUAUGCAAAUAAAUCGUAUUGAUUUAGAACAGAAGUUAAAUCUUCCCUUCUCUUUCUUCGACUCGGAAAAAGAAAAUACAGGAAGUUCCCAAAGACCAAAAAAGAAACAAAGAAUCUUAAAUCAAGACUAUUUGGGCCUUAUUUCAAUGCUAUCAAUUACAAGCCCUCCUUUCAGUUGACAACCCUUGACUUCCAUGAAACUCAUUUUUACCUCCUCAUCAUUCUCACCUGUAAAGAACUCCCCCAACUCAAUUUCAUUCCACGCAUCAUCUCUUUCUCUUGGCAUUUUUUCCUGUUUGUCUUUCAAGCUUGUUUCUACUACUUCUGUGGGAUUUGUAUUAUCCAGGCACACAAUUGGCUGUUUGUUGUUAUCUUGGCAAUGUAGAUACCCAGUGCUAGAUGAUACUUGGUUCCCCACUUCAACUGACAUUUCUGAGGGUAUGAAAUCAAGCCCAUAUGCACGAUCCGAAAUUUUCAUUAUGAGAUAAGCUCCGUAUUUUGUAUUUGGCGACAGCAUUUGAGUUCUGAUUUUGCCUUGGAUUUCUAACCACCAGGUUGUUCUGAGUAUGGCUACCUCUGAAAAUCUGUAGAGAAGAUGAACCAUGUUUAUAUAUUCUUACUACUGUUCAACUUUGUUACCCUUUUUAAUUUUAGCUAGCUAGCUAUGCUGUAUGGUAUCUUAUUGAAAUAAAUUACAAGAAGAGAGAAGAAGAGGCGUGGGGGAGAUAUCAACCUUGAUUCAGUUGUUGGCAUCCAACUCCAAUAUGUUGGAACAUCACCCCACAUGAUAAAAAGCUCUCGUGCAGACAGUGUGCAGGAUUUUUUGCCGGAUGAUUUCUCUAAUUUGAAGCUCUGUAAAGAGAAAAGAAAAUACUUGAAAAUGAGAUGUUAAUUACACAUCAUUGUUGUUCAUAUCUGGGUUCUUUAAGCUCUCUCCCCAUAUCAAUCACAAGGGCAAGAAAGUUUGAAAUAUCACCUAAUAUAGUGUUGAUGCUUUUAUGUAUUAUUCAUAUUUCUUAUAUUUGUGGAUGGUUUCAUGUAUAUUUGCUUUAUUGGUGAUAUAAUCAAUCAUAGAAUUGCUCUGUAGAAUAGAAGAGUGUAGUGUCUUCAUUUUAUCUUAGGCUUUAAAAGCAGAGUCAUAUUAUAUGCAAAGGAAGUGCAAGUCAUA
rnacentral:lncRNA from 1 species